rnacentral:rRNA from 1 species
GGACAGAAAGACCCUAUGAAGCUUUACUGUAACUUGAGAUUGAAAUUGGACUUUAUUUGCGCAGUAUAGGUGGGAGGCUUUGAAGAUAUUCUUGAGGGAAUAUUGGAGCCAUCAGUGAGAUACCACUCUUGUAAUGUUAGAUUUCUAACUUUGUAUCAUUAUCUGGUCAAAGAACAGUUUCAGGCGGGCAGUUUGACUGGGGCGGUCGCCUCCUAAACGGUAACGGAGGCGCACAAAGGUUUCCUCUGAACGGGUAGAAAUCGUAUCUAGAGUGUAAAGGCAUAAGGAAGCUUGACUGUGAGACCUACAAGUCGAGCAGGGACGAAAGUCGGUCUUAGUGAUCUGACGGUGCUGAGUGGAAAGGCCGUCACUCAACGGAUAAAAGUUACUCUAGGGAUAACAGGCUGA